AACGAACGCUGGCGGCAGGCUUAACACAUGCAAGUCGAACGCCCCGCAAGGGGAGUGGCAGACGGGUGAGUAACACGUGGGGAUCUGCCCAAUGGUACGGAAUAAUUCCGGGAAACUGGGACUAAUACCGUAUGUGCCCGCAAGGGGAAAGAUUUAUCGCCAUUGGAUGAACCCGCGUCGGAUUAGCUAGUUGGUGAGGUAAAGGCUCACCAAGGCGACGAUCCGUAGCUGGUCUGAGAGGAUGAUCAGCCACACUGGGACUGAGACACGGCCCAGACUCCUACGGGAGGCAGCAGUGGGGAAUAUUGGACAAUGGGCGCAAGCCUGAUCCAGCCAUGCCGCGUGAGUGAUGAAGGCCUUAGGGUUGUAAAGCUCUUUCGCCGACGAAGAUAAUGACGGUAGUCGGAGAAGAAGCCCCGGCUAACUUCGUGC
rnacentral:rRNA from 1 species